GUAGGUGGCAAGCGUUGUCCGGAAUUAUUGGGCGUAAAGCGCGCGCAGGUGGUUCUUUAAGUCUGAUGUGAAAGCCCCCGGCUCAACCGGGGAGGGUCAUUGGAAACUGGGGAACUUGAGUGCAGGAGAGGAAAGUGGAAUUCCACGUGUAGCGGUGAAAUGCGUAGAUAUGUGGAGGAACACCAGUGGCGAAGGCGACCUUCUGGCCUGUAACUGACACUGAGGCGCGAAAGCGUGGGGAGCAAACAGGGAUUAGAUACCCUGGUAGUCCACGCCGUAAACGAUGAGUGCUAAGUGUUGGGGGGGUUUCCCGCCCCUCAGUGCUGCAGCUAACGCAUUAAGCACUCCGCCUGGGGAGUACGGUCGCAAGACUG
rnacentral:rRNA from 1 species